rnacentral:rRNA from 1 species
UACGAAGGGUGCAAGCGUUAAUCGGAAUUACUGGGCGUAAAGGGUGCGUAGGCGGUUAGUUAAGUCUGUUGUGAAAGCCCCGGGCUUAACCUGGGAAUUGCGAUGGAGACUGCAAGGCUUGAAUCUGGCAGAGGGGGGUAGAAUUCCACGUGUAGCAGUGAAAUGCGUAGAGAUGUGGAGGAACACCGAUGGCGAAGGCAGCCCCCUGGGUCAAGAUUGACGCUCAUGCACGAAAGCGUGGGGAGCAAACAGG